UUUUUAUUGAGAGUUUGAUCCUGGCUCAGGACGAACGCUGGCGGCGUGCCUAACACAUGCAAGUCGAGCGAUGAAGUUUCCUUCGGGAAACGGAUUAGCGGCGGACGGGUGAGUAA
rnacentral:rRNA from 1 species